GGAAGAAAUACCCAAAGGGGUCUGGGUAUUUUGAGAAACUUCCUUAGCCAUGGAACGGAAUUGGGUUUCUUGCUCGUUUGAACUUCUUGGCUUUGAUACCAUAGAGGGAAUAGAGUUGUAUUGAAAGGGUAAAAAACACACAUUGUAUUAAAAACACACACAUUGUAUUGAGUCUCUCUCGCCUAUGACAAAUCGCCCUAAGCCCUAAUUUCCUCUCUCUCUCCUUGACGCUCUUUCAGUUCGCCAUCAAAGUAUGCCCUCUCGUUCGCCGUUUGUCUGAUCGGUAAGCAAACCUUAAAUUCUCUCUUGCUAUCAAAAUAUUCCUAAGCCCUAAUUACUUUUCUCUUUCAAUUCGCCCUAAGAACAGCCAUAGCCUGCUCUCAAUACCCUGAACAUCCAUAUAUAUCGGCGUUUGGACGUUCUUUGGAGAGUUCUCAUCACCUGUGUCUUCGAUGCUCUUUGCGUAGCAGGAGUGAGUAGUUCUCCACUACUUGGGCAAGAAUAUUUUUAAUAGAACCCUAACCUUUCUUACCCAAAUUCUCUGAAUCCAUCAUAGAAACCCUAACCCCCUCCUACCCAAAUUAUCUGAAUCCCUUUGUCUCUCUGAAUCCCAAACACUGUAAAUCCUCCUUCACGAGUUUCAUCUCUUAAUUGCUCGGAGCUUCGUUUUCCAUCACAGAGGAUAAUUGCCCAGGAUCUUCAAUAUAGUUUGGUAAAGCAUUAUACAGAGAUAAGGUAGAGUUGUCAGGUCAUAACUAGGAUUGCAUUUGCUGUUACUCUUUUUGUUGCCACUAUACUUUUUGUAUGGCUCAUGAAGAAGUUGCAUGGAAGAGAGAGACUCAAACAGAGCAAAAGUUUUUGUUUUAUUUUGGUUAAGUAAAAAUAUAAGGUGUGGAUCAUGUACUUCUUUGAAUUUGUAUAUGGUUAAUUUUUGUGUAAAACCAUAA